CAGUAGCCGCGGUAACACGUAGGGUGCAAGCGUUAAUCGGAAUUACUGGGCGUAAAGCGUGCGCAGGCGGUUAUAUAAGACAGAUGUGAAAUCCCCGGGCUCAACCUGGGAACUGCAUUUGUGACUGUAUAGCUAGAGUACGGCAGAGGGGGAUGGAAUUCCGCGUGUAGCAGUGAAAUGCGUAGAUAUGCGGAGGAACACCGAUGGCGAAGGCAAUCCCCUGGGCCUGUACUGACGCUCAUGCACGAAAGCGUGGGGAGCAAACAGGAUUAGAGACCCCCGUAGUCCCUGUCUCUUAUAC
rnacentral:rRNA from 1 species